rnacentral:sRNA from 1 species
GUACCUGUGUGGGCAGUGGGAGGCGGUUCUGCCACCUGGCCAGAGCCAGGGUGUCCUGGAGGCAGGUGGGAAUCCUGGGUGGGCUCAGGGCACCGCUGCUGCCUCCACCUCUCCUGCCAGCACCAGCUCCUUCCCUGAGCCUGUUUCUCCCUCUGAGAGGAGGCUGUGGUCUGUGUGAGCCUCGCUCUCUGAGCCUGAGGGGCCACUGGAGGCUGAGGGUGCCGUGGGCUCCACAGCCCGAUGAGUAGUCGGUGGGGGCUGAGGAAGAAGGUUGGGGCUGCGGCUCCUCCUGUCCCCCGACCCAGUGGGAGCAAACACAGGAGGAUGAGUGCAUGGCUCUGACGCUAGGAACUCCUCCGCAGGUGACUCUGCUGAGUUUGUUCCCCUGCAGGGACCCACCCACAGUUAUGGCAGUCUUCACAGUGGCCCUCUGUGGGAAUGUCCUCCUCAUCUUCCUCAUCUACCUGGACGCUGGACUUCACACCCCCAUGUACUUCUUCCUCAGCCAGCUCUCCCUCAUGGACCUCAUGUUGGUCUGUAACAUUGUGCCAAAGAUGGCAGCCAACUUCCUGUCUGGCAGGAAGUCCAUCUCCUUUGUGGGCUGUGGCACACAAAUUGGCUUUUUUGUCUCUCUUGUGGGAUCUGAGGGGCUCUUGCUGGGACUCAUGGCUUAUGACCGCUACGUGGCCGUUAGCCACCCACUUCACUAUCCCAUCCUCAUGAAUCAGAAGGUCUGUCUCCAGAUUACUGGGAGCUCCUGGGCCUUUGGGAUAAUAGAUGGAGUGAUUCAGAUGGUGGCAGCCAUGAGCUUACCUUACUGUGGCUCAAGGAGCGUGGAUCACUUUUUCUGUGAGGUACAAGCUUUAUUGAAGCUGGCCUGUGCAGACACUUCCCUUUUUGACACCCUCCUCUUUGCUUGCUGUGUCUUCAUGCUUCUCCUUCCCUUCUCCAUCAUCAUGGCCUCCUAUGCUUGCAUCCUAGGGGCUGUGCUCCGAAUACGCUCUGCUCAGGCCUGGAAAAAAGCCCUGGCCACCUGCUCCUCCCACCUAACAGCUGUCACCCUCUUCUAUGGGGCAGCCAUGUUCAUGUACCUGAGGCCUAGGCGCUACCGGGCCCCUAGCCAUGACAAGGUGGCCUCUAUCUUCUACACAGUCCUUACUCCCAUGCUGAACCCCCUCAUUUACAGCUUGAGGAAUGGGGAGGUGAUGGGGGCACUGAGGAAGGGACUGGACCGCUGCAGGAUUGGCAGCCAGCACUGAACCCCAGAGUCUGGUGCCUGCUGUGCCCCUUCUUGCCUGUGUCACAUUGGGAAGUCACUCAACCUUUGUGAGUGUCUGUUUCCAUUCACCUGUUGGUGGUCAUUGGAUGGUUUAUAGGUUUUGACCAUCGUAAGAAAAGCCAUUAUGAACAUUUCUGUACCAAAAAAAAAAAAAAAGGAUAAAAAGAUAAUCAGGACACCCGUGCUCUGAGGGAUUUUGUAAAGAUCACAAUGUGUCAGUCUAAAGCUCCAUGAAGAAGCAACGGCUGCUAUUAUUGUCAUUGUUGAUUGUUUAUGACAUCCUUGGACUAAAUUUACUCUAUUUUUUAUUUUCUUUAUUUUUUGUGUUUUUCUGCCCUUUAAUGCUAUAUUUCUUAAUUCUUCUUGGUAAUAGCUGUCUUUUAUUGGAUGCUUACUAAGUUCUACGUUCCGGUUCCUUUUCUAUUCUUUCUAAAUUAUUUAAUUGAUGACUUAGACUAACAAAUGUGGAUAUCUUAAGUGGAAACUUUCUAAAUGGCAGAAAUUGAGUCCCUAUAACUCUUCUUGGACAGUCCUUUGCCUUUUUCUAUGUUCAAUUAGAGGCUUUAUAAAACCUCCUUUAAGUAAUAAAAAUAAAUCCCUGCAGUUUAGUAGUUAUCCUCGUGGGGGGAAUAUCUUGUUUUUUUGUGUGUGUUAUGAAAGGAGGAUAUCUUGGGCCCCCAAAAUCACGAGGAUAAAGGGAAAAGUCAAGGUGGGAACUGCUCAGGGCAAACCUGCCUCCCAUUCUUUCAAAGUCGCCCUCUGCUCACUGAGAUAGAUGCAUCUUCUGAUUGACUCCUUUGGAGAGGCUCAUCAGAAACUCAAAAGACUGCAACCAUUUGUCUCUCACCUACCUGUGACCUGGAAGCCCCCUCCCUGCUUCGAGUUGUCCCCGCCUUUCUGGAUGGAACCAGUGUAUUUCUUACACACAUUGAUUGAUGUCUCAUGUCUCCCUAAAAUGUAUAAAACCAAGCGUGCCCUGACCACCUUGGGCACGUGUCGUCAGGACCUCCGGAGGGCCGCGUCACGGGUGUGCGUCCUCAACCUUGACAAAAUAAACUUUCUAAAUUAACUGAUACCUGUCUCAAAUGUUGGGGGUUCACAGUGUAUUACCAGUACCAGACCCUGUGCCUUAUAAAUAGCAGUUGCUCAUUAAAACAUUAUUGAAUGAAUGCAAGAAGAGAGCAUCAAGUGAGGUAAUAUAAAUGGAAGCAUUUU